rnacentral:rRNA from 1 species
GAUGAACGCUGGCGGCGUGCCUAAUACAUGCAAGUCGAGCGAACAGAUGAGGAGCUUGCUCCUCUGACGUUAGCGGCGGACGGGUGAGUAACACGUGGAUAACCUACCUAUAAGACUGGGAUAACUUCGGGAAACCGGAGCUAAUACCGGAUAAUAUAUUGAACCGCAUGGUUCAAUAGUGAAAGACGGUUUUGCUGUCACUUAUAGAUGGAUCCGCGCCGCAUUAGCUAGUUGGCAAGGUAACGGCUUACCAAGGCAACGAUGCGUAGCCGACCUGAGAGGGUGAUCGGCCACACUGGAACUGAGACACGGUCCAGACUCCUACGGGAGGCAGCAGUAGGGAAUCUUCCGCAAUGGGCGAAAGCCUGACGGAGCAACGCCGCGUGAGUGAUGAAGGUCUUCGGAUCAUAAAACUCUGUUAUUAGGGAAGAACAAAUGUGUAAGUAACUAUGCACGUCUUGACGGUACCUAAUCAGAAAGCCACGGCUAACUACGUG